UACACACCGCCCGUCACACCAUGGGAGUUGGUUUGGCCUUAAGCCGGUGCGCCAACCUAGCGAUAGGGGGCAGCCGUCCACGGCCGGGUCAGCGACUGGGGUG
rnacentral:rRNA from 1 species